rnacentral:tRNA from 1 species
CAGGGGGUAGUUUAUAUGAAAAUUUUAAUUUUGGAGAUUAAUGAAAGGUUUAUUCUUCCUCUGA